ensembl:lncRNA
GACCCAGCGCGUGUGCGCUCACCAGCUCCCGCGGCCUGGGCUCCCCCGGAAGGGGGAGACGGGAAGACCGCCGACCCACGACUGCCCGUCUCCCUCCCUCCCUCCUGGCUUCCUCCCCGUGACGGAGGAGCGUCCCGUGCGCCCCAGGAAGCACUCCCGGGUCGGGCUGCAGCGCACUGCGGAGGGCUCGUUCACCUUGAUGCCGGCCUGGGGCUUCAAUGCCACCACCCCACCCCACAAAAAACCGAAAUUAGUUCUCCGAGGCCAGGGAGGGGCGCCACACCCAUCCAAGUGAGGGAUUUGGGGACAGAGGGCGCCGCCUGGUGGCACACAAAUCCGAUCCAGCCGAGGAAGACGCCUGAAGCGUGAAGCCGAGCCCUUUUCCCUAUUUGCUUUGUUUUUGCUUAUUUGUAUUUUGAGGCAGGGUCUCGCUGAGUUGCUCAGGUUGAGUUUCAAAUUGCAAUAUUCCUGCCUCCGCCUCUCAGCUUACAGGUGCAUACCUUGAGCACCAAUUUUUCCCUUCACUAUUAGGGACUGAACCUGGGACUUUUUUCUCUCUCUCUCUUUUUUUUUUUUUUUUUUUGCUACCUGGGAUCAAACUCAGGACCUUGCGCUUGCAAGGCAGGUAUGGUGCCACUGAGCUAAAUCCCUGGCCCUUGAACCUGGGACUUUUGCACUGAGCUACAUUCCCAACCCUCUAUGAGACAGUGUCUCUGUAGGUCUCUAAGUUGCCCCAGCUGGAUUUUAACUCGUGAUCCUCCGGCCUCAGCCUCCCAGAGUGCUGGGAUUACAGGUGUGCACCACUAUGUGCAGUGCCAAAUAUUGUUCUAACAUUUAACUGACAUUGUCUCACGUAAUGUUCAACACCUUCCUUUGCUCCUGCAUGUGUGUUCUGAGCUUCCCUCAAAGGUGUCGGGUAUGCGCAGGGCUUUGUGCCUGUUCUGAGAACCACCAUUCGGGGCCAUGAAUCGAAGAAAGGCCCUGCCGUCGUGAACCAUCCAGGGUCUUGCUAAGUUGCCCCCGCCAGCCUGGAACGCUUGGUCCUCCUGCUGUCACCUCCAUGCCUGGGAGUCACCAUCGUUACACAAGGAGAGAUGGUCAGAGGGAAGUGAAAUGGAGAGCAGGCCCUGGGAGAACCCCAACUUUCAGGAGCUCUGCACCAAGCGAUCUGGGGAAGUGGGAAAGGAUGAGCCCUUGUUGGGCACCAGGCUUUCCCUGGAGAGGCUGGGCACUGGCUGGAGCCCGUCUUCCUCCCCUCCUGUCCCAGCCCCCAGCCUUGAGGGCAGCAUGGUACUGGUCCAGAGGUAGAGGCCGCCUCUCUUCAUCCCUCUUUUCCCCACUGGAGCAACGGCAGGACUGGCCUGUCCACAUCACACGGGGAUGGUGGCCUCCCUCUCCCAUCCUGCGGGUAGAGGCUGGAGCACUGCAGUGGGCAGAAGGAGCUGGCCUCGCUGUGGGAACUUGGGCACGGAUGUGUGCACUCGCCACUCUGGGCCCAGGUUUUCUCAGCCAUUCCUUCACAGCAUGUAUUGAUUUAUGUAUGCUUUUGAGACAGGGUCUCACUGGCUAGCCCAGACUGGGCUCGAACUCAGAGCGAUCCUCCUGCCUCAGCCUCCUGAGUGCUGGGAUUAUAGGUGUGCACCACCACACUGGGCCCCACAGUAUUUAUUUGGUAACUGUUGCAUACCAGGUGUGCAGUAGGUGUCCAGUGCAUGUUAGAAAGCAACCAAAGAUGACUAAUACGGACCCCGCCCCAAGGGGCUCAUGGUAUGUUAGAGACCUGGGAGCCAGACUGUGAACAGGGGCCCCAAGGCCCUGUGGGUGUGGCCAGGGGAAGUAGGGCCCAGGGAAGGGUUUUAACCUGGCCAGACUGGCAUCUGAGAAAGACCAGUGGGGAGACUGGGGUGGGGUGGCCAGCAGUUACCACAGCAAGGUGAGGUGUGGCACCGGGGCCGCCCAGGAGAGGAGGGCAGAGACAGGCGUGGGACUGUUAGGCUGUACAGGUUCCAAGUCCGAUGUAGGAGGGAGGCAGGGGGCAAGGAAGGCACCUGAGGCACGUGGCUGGCCCUGGGAGGGAAGAGAGCCCUGCCAGAUGUGCCGAGUCCAGAGGAUGAUGCAAGGUUAGGGUGAACAAAGGACACCCUCCUGCCUCAGCCUUCCAGAGUGGGAUUCCAGGCGUGAACUACUACUCAUUUUAACUCCGACAUUCUGCACCUGUGGUUUUGAUUUGCAACGUUGCGGAGGGUGUCGGGCGCGUGGCCGCCAGGGGUCGCUAUUGCCUCGGGGAAGCUACAUUUACGCUCUAAAAAACAAUUUUUCAAAAUUAAUGGUGUCUGAAGGUCUACUAUCUAGAAUAUAUAAAGAAUUGAAAAAAAUCAGACCCCCAAAAUUCAAAGACCCAAUUCAGAAAUGGGCAUCUGAAAUAAACAGACAUUUCUCAGACAAGUAAAAGCAAAUAAAUAUAUGAAAAAAUGUUCAACAUCACUGGUCAUUCAAGAGGUGCAGAUGAAAACAACACUGAGAUUCCACCUCACCCCAGAGAGAAUGGCUGCUAUCAAGAAAUCGACCAAUAACAAAUGCUGGCAGGGGUAUGGGGAGAAAGGAACCCUUCUCCAUUGUUGGUGGGAGUGCAGACUGGUGCAACCACUGUGGAAAUCAGGGUGGAGAUAUCUCAAAGAACUAGGGCUAGAGGUCCCGUUUGACCCAGCUAUUCCCCUGCUGGGAAUCUUCCCCAAAGAAUUAAAAGAAUCACACCACAGCGAUAUAUGUGCACCCGUGUUUAUAGCGGCACAGUUUGUAAUAGCUAAAGUUUUGAAACAGCCCA